rnacentral:pre_miRNA from 1 species
AUAACAACAUUCGGACCGUCGCUAUACCGAGCAAUAUCACCCGUUCGAUGGAAGAUCUUCCCUUUGUCGUGUACA